GAAUUUAAAAAUUUAUUAAUUAUAUUAAUUUUUGUUUAAUUAAUUAAAGCAUUAGAUAUUUUAUUAUUUGAUAAGAAAAAAUUAUUUUAAUAAUAGUGUAAAGUAUUGAGAAAGAAAAUUUAAAAAUGUUAAAAAGAAAAAUUUAAUUUUUGUACCUUGUGUAUCAGGGUUGAUUAAAAAAUAAUUUUGUAUAAGAUUUUCUCGAAUUUAAAAGAGCUAAUUAAUUAUAAAUUUUAUUGUAAAAUAAAUAUUUAAAAUUGUUAAUUAGAAAUGAAACGUUAUUCGUUUUUAAAUAUAUCUAGUUUUUAAAGAAAUGAAUUUAAUUCAUUUAUUAAUAAUUAAAAUUUUUAAUUUUUAAUUUUUUAUUAUUAAUAUUUAAUUUUCUUAGGGAUAAGCUUAAGGAAAAAUUUUUUAAAAUAAAACGUAAUUUUAAUAAGUUAUAGGAUUAAAAAUUUCUAUAAAUAAAAAAUUGUUAUAAUUAAUUAUUGUAGUAAUAUUAUUUAUAUAUUUUAUUUAAAUAUUUUAUUUAAAUAUAAAUUUAAAUUUUAUAAAUUUAGAAAUAAUGAUUAAAUUAGUAUAAAUAAUUGUUUAUUUAAAUUAAUUAUUAAAGGUUAAUUUAAGGAAUUCGGCAAAUUUAUUUUUCACCUGUUUAAUAAAAACAUGUCCUUUUGAUUAUAAUUUAAGGUCUAAUCUGCCCACUGAGGAUUUAAAUGGCCGCGGUAUUUUGACCGUGCAAAGGUAGCAUAAUAAUUAGUUUCUUAAUUAGAAGCUGGAAUGAAUGAUUGGAUGAGAAAAUAACUGUCUCAAAUUAAUUUUAAUAGAAUUUUAUUUUUAAGUUAAAAAGCUUAAAUAAAAUUAAAAGACGAGAAGACCCUAUAGAGUUUUAUUUAUUUAAAUAAUAUGUAAGUUUGGUUUUUAAUUUUUUUAUUAUUUAUAUAAAUUUUGUUGGGGUGAUAAAAAAAUUUAAUAAACUUUUUU
rnacentral:rRNA from 1 species